rnacentral:rRNA from 1 species
GUCUGUUUGAGGUUAUUAUACGGUCUGGCCUGCCCACUGGGAAACUAAAGGGCCGCGGUACUCUGACCGUGCAAAGGUAGCAUAGUAAUUAGUUCUUUAAUUGAGGACUGGAAUGAAUGGUUGGACAAGAAGUUAGCUGUCUCUAAUGUAAAUCUUGAAGUUUACUUUUAAGUGAAAAGGCUUAAAUAACAUAAAGGGACGAUAAGACCCUAUAAAACUUUACUUCUUGUUUAAAAAGUAGUUGAAUUGAAGGUAUAAAUUUGCUUUUGGAAUAAGUGUUUUGUUGGGGCGAUAGAAAUAUAAAUUGUUAACUGUUUUUAAAUUAAAAUAAUCAUAAUUAGUUUAGAUGAUCCUUUAGUAUGGAUUAUAAGAUUAAGUUACUUUAGGGAUAACAGCGUAAUUUCUCUUGAGAGACCUAAUCGACAGAGUUAGUUGCGACCUCGAUGUUGAAUUAAGAUAUCAUUUAGGUGUAGAAGGCUAAAUAGUAGGUCUGUUCGACCUUUAAAAUCUUACAUGAUUUGAGUAUCAAACCGGCAUGAG